GACGAACGCUGGCGGCGUGCUUAACACAUGCAAGUCGAGCGGUAAGGCCCUUUCGGGGGUACACGAGCGGCGAACGGGUGAGUAACACGUGGGUGACCUGCCCUCAGCUCUGGGAUAAGCCUGGGAAACCGGGUCUAAUACUGGAUAUGACUCCAUGACGCAUGUUGUGGGGUGGAAAGCCUUGUGCGGCUGAGGAUGGGCCCGCGGCCUAUCAGCUUGUUGGUGGGGUGANGGCCUACCAAGGCGACGACGGGUAGCCGGCCUGAGAGGGCGACCGGCCACACUGGGACUGAGACACGGCCCAGACUCCUACGGGAGGCAGCAGUGGGGAAUCUUGCGCAAUGGGCGAAAGCCUGACGCAGCGACGUCGCGUGAGGGAUGACGGGCCU
rnacentral:rRNA from 1 species